AGAGUUUGAUCCUGGCUCAGGACGAACGCUGGCGGUGCGCCUAAUGCAUGCAAGUCGAACGGGUCCGAUGGCUUCGGCUAUCGGGCUAGUGGCAGACGGCUGAGUAACGCGUAAGCAACCUAUCCAUAGGUGGGGAACAACCCCGAGAAAUCGGAGCUAAUACCGCAUGUGGUUCCUGGCCGUAGGGCCAGGAAGGAAAGCCUUCGGGCGCCUGUGGAGGGGCUUGCGUCCCAUCAGGUAGUUGGUGAGGUAACGGCCCACCAAGCCGACGACGGGUAGCCGGUGUGAGAGCACGACCGGCCAGAGGGGGACUGCGACACGGCCCCCACUCCUACGGGAGGCAGCAGCAGGGAAUCUUGCGCAAUGGGCGAAAGCCUGACGCAGCGACACCGCGUGGGGGAAGACGGCCUGCGGGUUGUAAACCCCUUUUCUGGGGGAAGAAACAAGACGGUACCCCAGGAAGAAGCCUCGGCUAACUACGUGCCAGCAGCCGCGGUAAUACGUAGGAGGCGAGCGUUGUCCGAAUUUACUGGGCGUAAAGGGUGUGUAGGCGGCCGGGUCCGUCGAUAGUGAAAGCUCCAGGCUCAACUUGGAGAGGUCUGUCGAUACCACCUGGCUUGAGGUCGGUAGAGGAGCACGGAAUUCCUGGUGUAGUGGUGAAAUGCGUAGAUAUCAGGAGGAACACCUGUGGCGAAAGCGGUGCUCUGGGCCGAUGCUGACGCUGAGACACGAAAGCGUGGGGAGCAAACCGGAUUAGAUACCCGGGUAGUCCACGCUAUAAACGAUGAAUGCUAGAUAUAGGGGGUAUCGACCCCUCCUGUGUCGAAGUUAACACGAUAAGCAUUCCGCCUGGGGACUACGGCCGCAAGGCUAAAACUCAAAGGAAUUGACGGGGGCCCGCACAAGCAGCGGAGCGUGUGGUUUAAUUCGAUGCAAAGCGAAGAACCUUACCAGGGCUUGACAUGUCGGUGGUACCCUGCCCGAAAGGAUGGGGGACCCUUCGGGGAGCCGUCACAGAUGCUGCAUGGCUGUCGUCAGCUCGUGCCGUGAGGUGUUGGGUUAAGUCCCGCAACGAGCGCAACCCUCGUCGCUAGUUACACUCUCUAGCGAGACUGCCUCGUAAUUCGGGGAGGAAGGUGAGGAUGACGUCAAGUCAGCAUGGCUCUUACGCCCUGGGCGACACACACGCUACAAUGGGUGGGACAACGGGUUGCCACGUCGCGAGGCGGAGCUAAUCCCUUAAACUCACCCCCAGUUGGGAUUGCAGGCUGCAACUCGCCUGCAUGAACGCGGAGUUGCUAGUAACCGCAGAUCAGCCGUACUGCGGUGAAUACGUUCCCGGGCCUUGUACACACCGCCCGUCAAGUCAUGGAAGCUGGUAACGCUUGAAGUCGCACAGCCAACCCCGAUUCGUCGGGGAGGCCUGCGCCGAGGGCGGGACUAGUGACUGGGACUAAGUCGUAACAAGGUAACC
rnacentral:rRNA from 1 species